AAUGUCACAUGUCUAUUGUACUUCAUCAGGUGCUCUGGUUGCUUUCGAUACCCGGCACAUGUUGGAGUACACUUAAUGUGCUGACAGU
rnacentral:pre_miRNA from 14 species